CAGCUCCAAUAGCGUAUAUUAAUGUUGUUGCGGUUAAAAAGCUCGUAGUUGGAUCUCGGUUUCGGGCGAGUGGUGCACCUUGCGGUGUUUACUGCCUGCCCGGACGAUUUUGUUGGUUCGUUUAUGGUUCUCUUAACCGAGUGCCAUAAGUGGCCAGCACGUUUACUUUGAAAAAAUUGGAGUGCUCAAAGCAGGCGCUACAGCCUGAACAUUAGUGCAUGGAAUAAUGGAAUAGGAUCUCGGUUCUAUUUCGUUGGCUUUCGGAGUCGAGGUAAUGAUUAAUAGGGACAGACGGGGGCAUUCGUACUGCGACGUUAGAGGUGAAAUUCUUGGAUCGUCGCAAGACGAACUACUGCGAAAGCAUUUGCCAAGAAUGUUUUCAUUAAUCAAGAACGAAAGUUAGAGGUUCGAAGGCGAUCAGAUACCGCCCUAGUUCUAACCAUAAACGAUGUCGACCGGCGAUCCGUUGUCGUUAACUGAAUGACUCAACGGGGAGCCUCCGGGAAACCAGAGUGUUUGGAUUCCGGGGGAAGUAUGGUUGCAAAGCUG
rnacentral:rRNA from 1 species